UUUUUCUUUUGUUUCUUUAACUAGAUCAACCCCGUAAAUCUGGCUUUCUUUAAGCUCUGUCCAAUAUAAAGGUGUGUGGCAUUUACGUCCAUACAAAGCUUCAUAAGGUGCCAUUUUCAAACUUGACUGAUAACUAUUAUUGUAGGUAAACUCUACCAAUGGUAAGUAUUUUUCCCAACUACCUUGAAAUUCUAAUACACAACAUCUAAGCAUAUCUUCAAGUACCUGAAUAACUCUCUCUGACUGACCAUCGGUCUGAGGGUGAAAAGCCGUACUAAAACUCAACUUCGUACCUAAAGCCUCUUGUAACUUCUUCCAGAAACGUGAAGUAAAUCUUGGAUUUCUGUCUGAAAUGAUUGAUAAUGGCACUCCAUGUAGUCUAACUAUCUCUGAAAUGUAUAACUCGGCCAACUUGUCAAGUGAAUAAUCCAUACGGAUUGGGAUAAAAUGAGCCGACUUAGUUAGCUUAUCAAUCACAACCCAUACUGCAUCUUUCUUUUUCAGUGUUAACGGCAAUCCUGUCACAAAAUCCAUAGUAACUCUGUCCCAUUUCCAUUCCGGAACUAGCACAGGUUGCAAUAAUCCUGAGGGUACCUGAUGUUCGGCCUUUACCUGUUGACAAAUCAAGCAUCUAGAAACAAACUCUGAAAUAUCUCUUUUCAUUCCUACCCACCAAUACAAUUUCUUCAAAUCAUUAUACAUUUUUGAACUGCCUAGAUGAAUAGAUAAAGAACUGCUAUGUGCUUCCUGUAAAAUCUUCCGAAUAAGCUCAUCAUUCUUUGGUACACAAAUUCUGUCUCUAAACAUCAAACAACCAUCAGAACCAAUCCAGAAAUCUGAUUCUAUGCUUGACUCACAUUGAACUCUUUUAGCUUGUAACUCAUUAUCAUCUUUCUAAGCUUCACAAAUCUCUUCAAGAAAUACCGGGUUAGCUCUAAAUUCAGCUAAAAUAGAACCAUCAUCUGACAUGGCUAAAUUGGUAUUCAAAGCUCGCAAUGUAAAUAAAAGUUUCCUGCUUAAAGCGUCAGCAACUACAUUUUCCUUACCUGGGUGAUAAUCAAUCACUAACUCAUAAUCUUUAAGCAAUUCCAAUCAUCUUCUUUGCCUCAAAUUCAAAUCUUUUUGAGUCAUAAAGUAUUUCAAGCUUUUAUGAUCGGUAAAUAUCCGGCACCUUUCACCAUACAAAUAAUGUCUCCAAAUCUUCAAUGCAAAUACAAUAGCAGCUAGCUCUAAAUCAUGUGUCAGAUAAUUUUUCUCAUGUGGCUUCAAUUGUCUAGAGGCAUAAGCAAUUACCUUUCCUUCCUGCAUGAGUACACAACCGAGCCCAUUCAAGGAUGCAUCACUGUAAAUCACAAAUUCUUUACCCGGUUCCGGCUGUACUAAGAUAGGAGCUUCCGUCAACAAUGCCUUUAACUUGUCAAAACUUUGUUGGCACUUCUCAGUCCAUUCAAACUUAACAUCCUUCCGUAGUAGUCUCGUCAACGGGGUAGCUAUCAUGGAAAAUCCCUCCACAAAUCGUCUAUAAUAUCCGACAAGACCAAGAAAACUUCUAACUUCUGAUACAUUUCUAGGAGGCUUCCAAUCAACAAUGGCUGAAAUCUUACUCGUAUCAACCUUAAUACCUUCACCUGAGACAAUAUGUCCAAGAAAACCAACUUCUCGUAACCAGAACUCACUUUUGCUGAACUUGGCAUACAACUGAUUAUCUCUCAGAAUUUGUAAAACUGUUCUCAAAUGCUCUGCAUGCUCAGUCUCAUCAUGAGAAUAAAUCAAAAUAUCAUCAAUGAACACAACUACAAACUUAUCUAAGUAUGGUCUAAAAAUUCGGUUCAUUAAGUCCAUGAAAAUGGCAGGAGCAUUAGUCAAGCCAAAUGGCAUCACAAGGAACUCAUAAUGACCAUACCUAGUCCGGAAAGCAGUCUUCAGGACAUCUGACUCUUUAACUCGCAACUGAUAGUAUCCGGAUCUCAAAUCUAUCUUGGAAAACACAGUAGCUCCCUUCAAUUGAUCAAACAAAUCAUCAAUUCUAAGCAAUGGCUACUUGUUCUUUACUGUUACCUUGUUAAGUUGCCGAUAAUCUAUGCAUAAUCUUAUCGAUCCGUCUUUUUUUUUCACAAAUAGCACUGGUACACCCCAUGGUGAACUACUGGGUCUUACAAAGGCUUUAUCUGUUAAUUCCUGCAACUGAGCUUUCAAUUCUUUCAAUUCCAAUAGAGCCAUUCUAUAAGGAGCAAUAGAAAUGGGUGUGGUACCUGGAAUCAACUCAAUACCAAACUCAACUUCUCUAACAGGAGGCAAACCUGGUAGUUCUUCCGGAAACACAUCGGGAAACUCACAUACCACAGACACUGAUUCAAUUUUCAAUUCUGGAUCUUUAGUGUUCAACACAAAAGCAAGAUAAGCUUCAUACCCUUUUCUCAAGUAUUUCUGAGCAGACAUAACAGAAAUUAUGGGAAAUGAACUAUCUGACUCUUCUGAAUUAACCCGAAGAAUUUCACCAUUUUCACAGUUCAACUCAAUGAAUUUCUUUCCACAAUUCACUAUCACAUCAUGUGUAGUCAACCAAUCCAUACCAAGAAUCACAUCAAACUCAUCAAAUGGCAAUAGCAUGAGAUCGACCGGAAAACAGUAGCCUCUAAUCAUUAAAGGACAAUUUCUACAUACUUUAUCUACUAAUACAUGCUUGCCUAAUGGAUUCGAUACUUUAAUCACAAAUUCUGUAGAUUCUAUAGGCAUACUUAUACUAGGUAUCAAUUUCAUACAAACAUAAGAAUGAGUCGAACCCGGAUCAAUUAGAGCAAUGACAUUAAUAUCAUGUAGAGAAAAUGUACCCGUAAUCACAUCGGGGGAGGAUGCCUCUUUGCGUGCACGAAUAGCAUAAGUCCUUGCAGGGGCUCUAACAUCUGGUCUCACAGUCGAAUCUCUAGAGGUACCUCUGUUACUUGCUCCUACUCCCGGUUGCCUCGGUGAUCUGCCUCUAGUAGGAGCAUUUCCGGAUCUAGCAUUCUGUGUUACCUCUCGGCUAGCCACUUCUGGACAUUCUCGUACAAAAUGAUCUGGAGCACCACAUUUAUAGCAAACAUUUUCGCCUGCCCGACAAGGACCAUAAUGAAGUCUACCACACCGUGGACACCCUGAUCUACCCUGUCUGACAUUACCUACACUCGUAGUCGAGGUGGUCUGAGCCUUCGGAUCCUUAAAUUUGCUACCUCUAUUCUGACUAGAUUGCCCUGCCGAAAAGCUAGAUCUGGUAGAAAACUCUUUGGGCCUCUUGGAUGUAGCCUGAAAUGAUCUGCUCAUCUGUCUCUUCUUUGUAUCUUGUGUCUCCGUCUCAACUUUGCCUUUUCUUUUUAAUAGCUCCUCUGCCUUACAGGCUCUCUCAACUAAAGUAACGAACUCUUUUAUUUCUAGGACACCCACUGACAGUCGGAUAUCAUCAUUUAACCCAUCCUCAAACUUUUUACGCAUGAUAGCCUCUGUGGACACACAUUCUUGAGCAUAUUUACUAAGCCUGACAAAUUCACGCUCAUAAUCGGUCACCGUCAUAUUGCCUUGUUUCAAUUCCAAGAAUUCCUUUCUCUUCUGGUCAAUAAACCUCUGACUGAUGUACUUUUUACGAAAUUCUUCCUGAAAGAAAUCCCAAGUGACCCUCUCUUUCGGUACAACUGAUACAAGUGUCUUCCACCAGUAGUAGGCUGAGUCUCUAAGAAGUGAUACUACACAUUUCAUACAUUCCUCGGGUGUACAAGAUAAUUCGUCAAAGACUCUGAUAGUAUUUUCUAACCAAAAUUCUGCUCUUUCUGCAUCAUCAUCUUUUGUUGCUCGGAACUCUUCUGCCCCUUGUUUCCUGAUUCUAUCAACUGGUGGCUUUUCUCUUACCACUGUACCUAUGACUAGGGAAGCUUGAGCUACAUGGGUAGCCUGAGAAUCAUGAGGGGGUGAAGGUCUAACUGCCGGAUUCGUACGAACGAACUCGGCAAACAAAUCAUUCAAAGCUCGGAAGAGAGCUUCUCGAGUCACUCCUCCCUGAUCAACUAUUACUGGCCUAUUCUCAGAUGGUGCUGCCCCUUCUAUGGAAGCAAGCGCAUUACUUUCUACAUUAUCAUCACCAGCUCGCCCGAGAUCCAUUACUAUAAAACAAAAUAUUUAUUAAAAAAAAAUCGUCAGGAGUCAUCACACUAUCAAAAUACAAGUAUGGCAUGUAUAGCUAGACUUUUUCUCACACUAACUGUUCCGAGAACCGACUAAACCUGGCUCUGAUACCAAUAAAUGUAGCACUCCUUACCCGAGACUGUUUCCAGAAUCGAGCACGAGGCAUUACUAAACUUAAUCUAUCACUUAAAUAGUUUUAAAUUGUUUAUUUAAGCUUUUCGGAAUGUGCUGCCAUUCUGCGUCGUAGUCGCCUAAAAAUUCAUAUCUUGAGUUCCGAAACUCAAAAUUAAGAUCCGUAAAUUUUUCCUAAAACUAGACUCAUAUAUCUAUUUACUAAUGUUUUUCAUAGAUUUUUUACAAGGCCAAUUAGUACAGUUUAUUAGUUAAAGUUUCCCCUGUUUCAAAACUCGACUGCACUAACCUCUUCUUACUACGAACCAUGUUUCUUCCUGUACAAAAUUCAUAUCACUAAGCCAUUUGUUUCUCUUAAAACUAGACUCAAGAAGGAUUAUAAUAAUAUAAAGUACACGUUCUAAUUAGUUUUUUACAAUUUAUGGUGAAUUUCCAAAGUUGAAAUAGGGGAUCCAGAAAUUGCUCUGACCCUAUUUAACUAAAACUCAGAUAUAUCAUAAAAUAUAAUACCUUUACCUGUUUUUCUUAUUCCAUAAGAAAAUAGACAUAAUAAGAUUUAAUUUCAUAUAUUAUUCAUCUUCAAACUAUGUUUCUACAAUUUUUAGUGAUUUUUCAAAGUUACAUCAUUUCUGUUACUUGAAUCUGUUUUUAGGUUACUUUCACAUUUUUCAGAAUUUUCAUGUGAUAAUCACCAUUCAAUCAUACAUAUUAAUAAACAUGCAUAUCAUCAGCCAUUUUUAUUAACUAAUCACUAGCAAGUAUUUACACAUCGUUCAUUGUUUGCAUUAUACCAAAAGUAGCUAAGUUUCUAUACAUGCCAUACACAAAACAAAACGUCUAAUUAUAUCGAGUUAUUUCUUUGAUAGUGUGAUCGGCCUCCGACGUUUCCUUCGAUCCCCGAGUGGCUAGAUAAGUACUAUAAGAAGAAGAAAAUAAAGAGAUUAAGCACUAGGCUUAGUAAGAUUACAAGCAAAUAAAUCACAACAUUCAACAUAAUGGAUAAUUAUGCAUAAUAUCAUCUAACAUUAUAAAUUUCUUUACUUCUCAAUUUCUAUCUUCUUCUUUAUUCCCUUACCUUCUUUCUUACCUGACCUUUCCUUUUUCAUAAAUAUAAUCUACUUUUCCUUUGCUGUUAAUUCACUGUAAUUUAACUCGUAUCCUGACCCGUUGAACCACUCGGAAUACUAAGGAUACUAGGGUCGUUCCUGUCUAUCAAUAUCCUGCCAAUGCCAUGUCUUUGACAUGGACUUACAUGAAUUAUUCCUGUCUCCAAUGCCAUAUAUAAUAUGGACUUACAUGGCUCAAUCCUGUCUCCAAAGCCAUAUGUCUAAUGUGGACUUACAUGGCUCAUUUCUGUUCUGUCCUGUCAACCCUAAUAUCCUAACAUUCCUAGGGUUCAACCGGGGCUUUCUAACACUUUUCCUCUGUCACUUCACCUUAAAUUCGAAUUUAAAUAUUUUCAUAACAUAAAUAUAUAAAUGCUGGAAAUUGACAAUAAUAAUGUAAAAUAAAAGAAUAUUGCAUUUAUUUACUGUAAACUUACCUCGAUACAAAAUGUGACUAAACUUUACAAUUUAGUCCUUUACUUUUUGUUUUCCCCGAUCUACUCCCGAAUUUCGCUCUUCUUGAUCUAUAAUAGUAAAUUUAGCUUAUUUAAUAUCAACAUUUAUCAAAACAACCCUUUACUCAAACUUUGGAAAAAUUACAUUUUUGCCCUUAAACUUUCACAUAUUUGCACUUUUUCCCCAAGGCUCGUAAAUUAAACUUCAUCCUAUUUUCUUAUGUUUUAUGACAUGCUUAUCAUUUUUCCCUUCUAUGACAACAUCAAAUUCACACACUAACAUGUACUUAUGACUAUUAGGUAUUUUUACCGAUUAAGCCUUUUUACUCGUUUUCACUUAAAACCAAGUAGCACAAGUUGUCUAACAUAAUUUAAAACCACAUAUUCAAUCAUAAAACAUCAAAAUACACAAAUUUCACCUAUGGGUAUUUUUCCAAAUUUGAUUCCUAACUUAAAUUAUUGCUAGCAUAAGCGUUAUCGAGCUACCGGGACUUCAAAAACGUAAAGAUCAUUAAAAACGGGGCUUGGAAUCACUUACUAUGAAGCUUGAAAGUUGAAGAAACCCCAGCUAUGGAGAGAGGUAAGGUUCGGCUGGUAACUUGAAGAAGAUGAUACAAUUUUAUCAUCUUUUUACCUUUUUAUUAAUGUUAAUAACCAAAUGACCAAAAUGCCCCUCCUUACUAAACUUUCAAAAAUUCAUGUCCUAAUUUUUUCCAUGAACUUAAAAUUGGUCAAAUUACCAUUUAAGAUCUCCUAAUUAAUAUUCCAAAAUAAUUUCAUACUAAAAACUUAUUAUUCGAUUUAGUCCCUAACCUCAACUUAAGCACUUUAUGCAUAGAAUUUUAUCACGAAAUUUUCGCACAAUCAUGUAAUCAUACCAUGAACCUCAAAAUAAUAAUAAAAUAAAUUUUUUUCAUCCCCAAAUUUGUGGUUUCGCAACCACUGUUCCGUUUAGGCCCUAUUUCGGAAUGUUACACUACAUCUUGACUUACAACUUGUGUGAGAAGACUUAGUUAUGGCUCGAGAGUGAGCAUCGAUAUGAGAUAUGAGAUAGAAGUGGUUUUGACCACAUAUUGGCACUUAGUGUGUGAGAUACCCGAGUAUCUGAUAGUAUUCCAAAUGGUUCAACAGGCACAGAUGAUGCAAAGUUAUACAAGUUGAUACGAACCAGUGCAGGUAUUAAUGUGAAGUUUGGGAAGAAAUUCAUAGUUGAUGUAUUUAUACAUAGCUAACAUAAUUGUGAUUAUGUGUUAGGCUUUGGGCUGAAUUGAAAUUUACCUAUGUUUUAAUUAUGCUUAUCUAAAUUGUGGAUGAUUUGGUAAGUUGUAUUUAUUAGUUAUACGAACUUACUAAGCUUAAUUACUUACUCCGUUAUAAUUUCCGUGUUUUAUAAUGAUUCAGAAACUUGCUCGAUUUGGAAGUUGUCGGAGAUCGCGUCGUACUAUCAAACUCUUAUUUUGGUACUUUGGCCUUUACAUUUUGGGUUAAAUAACAUGUAUAGGUAUUUUGGCUAAUGUGGCCUAUAUGUUUUGUUGUGUAUUUAGCUAAUUGGUUUGGCUUGAAAAUGGUAUAUAUUUUGAUAUGUAGGUGUAAAUGGCCUUAUGAUAUGUUGUGUAUAUUUGCUAUGUGAAUGCUUUAUUUUGUGAACUGGUAUUUAAAGUACCAAAUGGUUGAAAUUGAGAAUACGUAUGCAUGCUAAGUUAGGCACAAUGUUUCAUAUAUGUAAUUGACCAUGUAGGUAGACUUUGGAAGUUUAUCUGGUAUGUUUAAAAGUGGUCAAAUGAAUGUGCUUAUGGAUAUCAUGUUGGAUGUGUGGAUUGUACAUGAUAUAAACUUGAUAUUGGUUGGUUUUGAGUGCCUAUUUAUGCCAUGGUUGUAUGUGCAUUGUUAAGCUUAGGUUGGUACCACAUUGGGUGAGAAAUAUGGUUUGAAAAAUAACCUAUUUUUGUCCACACGGGCAAAGACAUGUGCGUGUGUCUCAGCCAUGUGUGACACACAGCCAUGUGUGACACACAGCCAGGUGACACAGCCAUGUGUCCCCUGAUACUUCUUUAGAAACCAAGUCAAUUGCUUCACAUGGCCUAGCACACGGGUGUGUGGCUUGGCCGUGUGGCACAAGCCAGUAUACCCUCCAGUUUUCACAUGGUGUGUGAGGCCAUUUCGAAGGGUAUACGACCUAGCACAGGGCCGUGUGAUUUGGUCGUGUGACCUAAGUCAGUUAGUUACACGGGGUCAGACACUGGCUGGGACACAGCCAUGUAAUCCCAUUUCGAAUGUCCACUCGGCCUGAGACAUGGGCAUGUGUCUCCUCACUUUGAAAAACUUUCCAUGUUUUCUUAAAAAAUCGUAGAGAACCUGGUUUAGUCCCGAACCAUUUCUAAUAUUUAUUUUAGGCCUUGAGGGCUCGUAUUAGGGACUAUAUGAUGGAAAUUGAUUGGUUUUUUAAUUGAAUGAUUUAUGAACAUGAAAUUUUAUUGUUUUGAUCUAUAAGUCUGGUAAUACUUCGUAAUCCUGUUCCGGCGUCAGAUACGGGUAAGAGGUGUUACAGGAAGAGUAUAGGGUUACUUCGACUACAAGUCAAAGAGUGUUAGGCACAUUGGUACUACGAUUAUACCGAUGAACGCUGGGUGCAACUUAUUACUUCGGAUUUGUCCGAUGAGGCAUUGGGUGCCAAAUAGGUGUGAUUGGUUGGAUUAUGUAUUUGUUUGAGUCUGGGUCAAGUUAAUAGUGAAUUAAACAUGUAAAUGUAAAAUGGUACAUGAAAAUAUAUUGAGAUGGUAAAUGAUUAUAUUGAAUUUAUAAUCCCGAAAAAUUGUAUAAAUAUGAGAUAGUCCAAUCAAUUCAAUUUGGAACUUGUUGAAUGAAAGUAUGAUAUUCUUAUACUAGCUAUUUGGGCAUAAAUGAAAUGAUUUAUACGGUGAGAUAGUAUAUUUUGGUGAGAUAGUAUAUUUUGAUAGGUGAUUUAGUAAUGUCAAUACAUGAUAUUUUGUUUUAAUGUUUUAAUUUAUUUACAUUAUAUUUAAAUGUUUGAUUAUAGAAAUACCAUUGAGUUUCUAUUUUGCACAAAAUUUUGUUUUCCAUGCAUAGGUUAGGUUAAAUUCACGAUUUUGAGCUUCAAAAUUAGCAUCUCAACAAAAAUCUCAAACUCUGUAAGGUUGGUGAAAUUCUUAUUAAUUUAAUGGCAUGUACCUAGGGGAGUCCUUUAUAUAUUUUACUAAGUUGAAGGUUUAGAUGGCAAGUGGAUGAAUUUUGUAUAAAUGUUAAUGUUAUAAUGAAGAUGGUAUAAAGCAUGUGAGCAUAUAUGUUAAUGUUGAGUUGUUACAUGUCUGAUACUUGAAAUUCUGUUUGGAGUAAGAAUGUGAUACUUUGGUGGUGGAUAUGGCAUUGUAAGUUAAGUUUUAGUUGAUAGAAUGGGAUAAUCAAAGUAAGUCAAUAAGAUACUAAUAUAUGAAAGAUAUGCUACUAGGUUAGAAACGAGCAUAAAACAUGACUCGAAAUUAUAUUUGCUUUGACAUUUGAGUGGUACUUAGGGGCAAUGAAUUGAUGAUUGUAAAUGUAUGAUGAAAUGGUUGAGUUGAUUUGUAAAGUUGUAAAUUAUUGUAUAGGUAUGUUUGAACUUACCUUGAUGUUGUUUAAAUGUGUUGGGAGAAUAUUUUAGUGUGAUUGGUUAUAGGUAUGAUGUGGAAAAGGUAUGUACUAGGUAAGCUUGUUGAUGUUGGGAAUGAAAUAGGUGCCAAAUGCAUAUUUUUGAACUUAACUCUUGAAGUAUCGAUACCAAUGAGCAAGUAUUGAUACUUAGAAAUUUCAAAUAGUAUUUCAAAUAAAUAAAAUUUCAAAACGGUAUCGAUACCGGGCUUAAGUAUCAAUACUUAUUUAAAAGUAUCGAUAGUUUACAAAAGUAUCGAUACCUAUGGCCUUUGUUAAAAUUCUUUUUACAAAACAAAAUUGAAAAACAGUAUCGAUACUAGCAUGGGUAUUGAUACUCUAUAAUGAAUUAUUGAUACCUAGUGUUAAGUAUCGAUACUUGAAAACGUUGAAGCUCAUUUGGGUAUCUAUACCUAACUAAGGUAUCGAUACCUGUUUCGAAAAUUUUUGAACUUGUUGCAACUUGGUCUUAUUUCAUACUUAAUUCAAUAAUCGAAUCUUAAAAAUCGAGUAAAGCUUGGAAUUAAACGUAUUUCAUUAUAUACUUAUGUUUGUUGUAUGAUUGUACAUAUAUAAGUGAAUCAAUUACAAUAUUUUGAUAGUAGUUACUCUGGCAACGAAUGUGACACACAGUAACUAGGAUCUGAUGAUCGAGUUGGGUAUUAGGGUGUUACAACUAAUAAUAUUACCAAUUAACUUUCAUCAAAGCAACUCGAAGAAAUUGAAUUAAAUCGCAUCUAUUGGACUAUAUUUGAUCAAUUAAAUGCAAAAUUAAAUAAAUUCACAAUUAGCACUAAAUUUAUUGUAACCUUCCCAACCCGACCCAAACAUUAUGAAGGUUACAUUAGCUACCAAAAUGACCCAAUAAAACAAUCAGUUUUCAAAUAAAACCAGAAAGCCCAUUUCAUAAUGAUUUCAGAUUAUACAAUUCUUAAUUUUAAUUCAAGUAAUCAAAUAUAAUCAUUUACGGAACGACUUUUAGCAACUCAAGCAUGAAAUAGGUUUGUAUUGUUGAGUUUCAAAUCUCCACGAAAGGUAUCGAUACUGUAAUAAGCCAAUUUUGGCCUGGGCCCAAAAAAAUAAUAACCGAAGCCAAAGGAUGCAAUCGGUCGAAAACAAGCCAAAAAGGGUCAAAUUGAAAGACAAUCAUUAAAUUGCGGCCAAAUAAAAAAGAUGGAGAAAACCAAAGGAUUAUCAAAUUUUGUUGACUUGGUAAAAGGCUAAAAAUAGAAAGAUAUUAUUUUUAUUUUAUUAUUAAAUUAGUUAGGCUAUUUUUAGUAAACCCUAUGUAUAUAAAUAGGGGUAUUUUGUUCUUUGAAAGGGAACGAAUUACUUUUGGAGGGAACGAAUUACUUUUGGAGGACUUUUGGUAUUCUUACUUCAAUUUGGAAUUUGAUUAUUCUCUAUUUUCCUAUUUCCAUUAGAAUUGAAUUAUUUUCUUUUCUCUUUCAAUUACGUGGGAAUUUUGUCCAUUUUAUUUCAAUUUCUUUAUUUUUCUAAAUUUGUCCGAUUGCUUUUAGCCCUUUUGUUUUUAUUUGAUUUGCAAUUAAGUUUCAUUAUUCUUAAGUUUUGCCCUAAAAUUUGUUUUGACUACAUUUUGGUCUUCCUUGAAGCUGUGUGUUUUGGAGGGUGGGGAUUAUUUCCCUUUUGGUCCCUCAUUGUUAUUUGCACGUUCAAAUUGGUUCAUUUUCUUUUAUUUAUUUUUGAUUUGCCCCAGAAUUUUGCUUUAAGGUUUGAUUUAAUCCUUUUUUAUUUUCGCUAUUUUAUUAUCAAAUUAACUAAUUUAAUACAUUAUUCCUAUUAUUUUUAUGUUUCUAUUUAUAUUUAUUUUGUUAUUCUGAUACUAUUAUUAUUUAUCUAAUUAUUAUUUAUCUAUUUAUAUUUCUAUUAUUAUUAUAUUUCUAUUUAUUAUAUUUUUAUUUCUAUUUAUAUACUAAUAUUAUUUUCAUUAUUACAUUUUUCCUUAUAUAUGUUUUUUUACUCUUGUUAUUAACAUUCUAUUUAUUUAUUUAUCUUACAUUUUUUUGUUAUUAUCUAUUUUAACUUUUUAUAUAACGCUCAUUUCAAUUUUAUACAUUAUUUACUUUAAUAUUUUCAUAUAUUAUGUAUUUCAAACUUUUUUACACAUUAUAUAUUUUGAAUUGCUUAUAUAAUAUUUUUAAAGAGUUUUAUACAUUAUUUUAUCUUGAAUGGAUACUAAUUUUUUUUUAAAAUUAUUUUAUAGAUUGCUUUUAUAACAUCCAUUUUAAAUCCUUUUUAAGUAUUAUUUGCUUAGAAUUGUUUUAUAUUUUAUUUUAGAUUUUCUUACUUUGUAUUUAUUUGUUAUUUGUGAUUUAUUAUUAUAACAUUUUGUUUAUGAAUUAUUACUUUGCAUUGUACAUUAUUAUUCCAUCGCAUUUUAUUCGCUUAAAGGGUCGUGUUUUAAUAGCAUUUAAGUUAUAAAAUCAUUUUAUUCAAAGUUUUCAAAAUAAGGCAAUGCUCGGUAUUUGGAGUCUUCGAGAAGAUUGUGCCCUAACUUACUGGGUUCCAAUUUUUCUCGUUGAAUCUAAGUAACUGGGUACCCUUUUUCAAUCAAAACGUAUAAGUUUCAAAUAAAAGCUUAUUCUCAAGAAUUCGAGGUGUUGUGUCCUAACUCACUGGAUAUGACAUUUUGUAUCCCGAUAUAAGGAUUUCUAAAAAAUAAGAAAAUAUUUCGUGUUUAGAAAUUCGAGAAAUCGUGCCCAAUCGUGCUGGGUUUCGAUUUUUCGUUCAACCGAAUAACUGAAUAUGCUUUUGAAAUUUCAUCCAUGUUCUCUUAAAUUAAAACGAGACAAUAUUUUGUGUUUGGAAAUUCGAGAAAUCGUGCCCAAUCGUGCUGGGUUUCGACUUACCGUUUGACCAGAUAGCCAAAUAUCCUUUUGAAAUUUCAAAUGCAUGAGUUUUGGAAAUUAUAAGAUGAUCUUAUAUCGAGGGUUUGAAAUGUUGUGUCCUAUCGUGCUGGAUAUGAUAUUUUAUUCCUUCUAAGCGAGAGAAUCUCAAUAUCCAAUUCAAGUCAUCCAAACGUUUUAAAGGAAUUGUAUUUUAAAAUCUUUUUCAAAUUUUCAACAUUAGGACAUUAAUUGAUCAAUACGGUACCAAUUUUGGGCGUUGCGAGGGUGCUAAUCCUUCCUCGCGCGUAACUGACUCCCGAAUCCGAUUUCUAGUUUUUCGUAGACCAAAAAUGUUAUUUUAGUAAACCGAAAUGCUUUAUUAAAAUGAUCGAUCACAAGGUGACCCGAUCACACCUAAACAAAAAGGAUUGGUGGCGACUCUAUUUUCGUUCUAAAGUCGACCUCCUUUUUUCAAAAUAAAAAUAGUUUCGACAGAUACAAAAUAGAAAAGUAUCGAUACGAUUUGAACAUUUUGCCAAUUUUUAAAGUUAUAAAAUGUGAUCAAUCGGUAUCGAUACUUUUAGAAAUAUCGAUACUAAUUUGGCAUUCUGUUUGGUUUAAAAAUCGAUUCAUAUGAUUAAGAAUCAGUACUAGAUGCUUGGGUAUCAAGACUUUUCGUCAGGCUUGGUAAAAAUCAUUAAAAAAACUGUUUUGAUUCAAUUUCAAAACAUGUACCAAUUUAAAUCAUUUUAGGAAAACAUUAGUUUAUUUUAGUUCAAAAGUUGUUAGAAAAGUCUCAUUUACAUUUACUUUAAAUAGUUUAAUAGUCUCGAAGUUUAUAACCAGAUUCAAGUUUAAUGAUAAAAAAUAAAUAAUGCAAAAUCCCCAAAACUUAAGUGUAAUAGAGUCCAUGCCAUAGUUUGUUAAACUAAACAAAACAAAACAAUAUUUAUAGAGUAGUUUAAAAUAUCUUUCUAAUUAAAAUCUGUCAACAGUGCUCCGAGUAUUGAGUUUGAGCCCUAAACUCACGAGUUAUCUGAAAAGUUAGGAAAAACUAAAGUGUGAGCUAUGAAGCUCAAUGUGAUCUUAACAUAUGAGAAGUAAAUAUAAAACAAUAAUUAACAGCACACAGGUUUGCAAUAUAUAAUACAUAUCAUAUUACCAAUCCUACAAUGAUCUUAAUAAAUAUACAGUGUGCAUGAAUAACGGUACAAUUUUCCUACUCAACUAUCCACUACACUCUAUAGUAGAGUUCCCAAGAACUUGUUUAACCCUACAUACCAAACAAUAUUUUACGGAUGAAUUGCCAUUAUAUCAGUAGGUCAUAGAUAAACCGCCAAUAAAAUAAUAAUUUGAUUGAUAAAUUAGUCUGACAUUAAAUGCCUACACUUCCUCCUUCAAAACUCAAAUCUCAAUGCAACAAUGUGGCAUGCUAUCGAUAUCAGAAAGCAAUAACAAUAACAGUAACAAAAUUAAUAUGCUAUUAUCAUGCAAACAAUAACAAUUUUAUGGUUAAGCAAUAGUAAUAAGUAUGCAUCAGUAAUUUAUACAAAUUUAUCAUAGAUUUAACGUCACGCACAUAAUCAACAUUACAAUUCAUAAAAUUGGCAGCAAAGAACAAUUAUACUUACGGUGGAGGAUGUGGCGACAACAAGGGAGAAAAGAGAGGAAGAGGAACAAAAAAAAAAAGAAAAAAAAGGGAGAAAGAGAAGAGAAGGGAAAAGAGAGGGGACAAUGCAAGGGAAAAGAAAGAGAGAAGAGGGGAAAGAAAUAGAGAAUUUAGGGUUUGGGUGACACAAAGCAAAGGAAAAUGAAAAAGAGGGGUCGACCUAGCAAAAAUAGGCUUAUAUACUUACAGUUUUCGGCAUAUUAGGGUUUCUCACAUUGGAAAAUAUAAAGGUAUCAGUACCUAUAUAAAAAGGUAUUGAUACUUGUGUAGGUAUCGAUUAAGUUUACAACAUUUUAACUGAUCAAGCCCAAAUGGAAGCCUAACUACACUUUCAGAAAAAAAAAUAAAAUAAUUCUUACAGUUACAAAUUUAACCCACAUUUUAGGGUGUAACAUUUAUUUUAUUAACAAAAUCAUGAAAAAUUCAAACUAAUAACAUUAGCAAUUAACUUUUAUCAAUUCAGCCUUAAAACCAGAACUAAACAGUAAAAAGUUAACGUCAUUAUUUUUGAGUACCAAAAUAUAUAACUUUUGUCAAAUAUAAGUACCAGAUUGGAUAAAAAAUAACACAAGUACCACAUAAGAAAAAAAUGUGAAACUCAAGUAUCAAUAAGUCCCUUUUUAAUAAUAGAUGUUUUUAUUUAUUUUAUGAUUUAAAACUAGUUUUAUUCGGCCGAAAGCAAUUAUCUUCCAUUUUUAAAAAAAAAAAUUUAAAUCUUAAAAAGAAGAGGUUAUAGAGAUUAUUAAAAUACUCUAUCGUAUAUAAAUGAAGUUAUAUUUUUAUAAAAAUAUUUAUUUUCUUAUAUAAUAAAUUAAUAAAAAUUUUAUCAUAAUAAGAUUUAUAUCUAAAAUAAUAUAUAAUAAAUAAUAAACUUUACCCUUUCAACAUCAAAUAUUUUUAUAUAAUUUUUAAUAAAUAUAUUUAUUAUAUAAUUUUUUUUUUCAUCGACUCUGCCACUAAAUAUGAAAUGGUUUUGGGGGGAUUGGUGAUUGUGAAGGGUGAUGUAAAAAUACAUUGAAUGGUUGAAUAUGGAUUAUAGGAAAAAUGAUUGUUACUUCAAACACAUUUAUUCAACUUCUGGGUUUAGGUUUCUACUUUUUAAGUCUUACAGUAAUUCUAUAUAUAAACAUGUAAAUUGAAUUCACAACUGAGUUUAACUUGAAAACUAACUUUUGCGUUGGGCUUUACAUAUUUAAUUAUUUGAAUUUGAUCCUGAGUUUCAUAUUGAUUUAAAAACCAAUUGACUAAGCCAAUGAAACCCAAUGUCUUGACCAAAUAAAUCAAAAACUAAACUAAAUCAGUUCCAUUCAAUUCAGUUUAUGCUGAUUUGAAGGGGAAACUAUCUCACCAUUGUCAUGCAAAGUUACUUCUCAUUUGACCAAUCACUCGAACAUCGUAAACCUAAAACAACUUAAGAUUUGACCAACUUAAAGAAAAUGUCAAUCUUGGUUGGGUUUUUCUUGAAAACUUAUCAUUUUUGUUCUUAACACACAUGCAAUGAAAAAUCAAAUUCCAAAUCCCCCACAUAUUUGUGGAGUCUUCAAUCAACUAAGUACUAAUUCCAUAGCAUUAACCAAGAAAAAAGUCACACAUCAGUGUAACUUUAACUCUCAAUUUCGGCUGAUAAAUUAGAUUCUGCCCAUCUUUCUGACAAAGACGACAGCACGUUAAAAUGCUUUCUUUUCUAAACAGAAAAGAAUAAUAUUAUAUGUAUUUAAUCUAUUACAAUCAUCUCAAAUUUGCAAUUCAUGAUGGGACAUUAUUAUAUUCCCUGACAGAAGAACUGGUGAACAAGCUAUGGACUCACUUUGGCAAUAGAAUUAAGGAUUUCCUCAACUAAUGUGACAACAUUAAUAAAAAAGUACUAUACAUUUCAGUUUAAUCAAUUUCUAUGGUUAAAUACUAAUCUUUAUAUGUUAAUACAAAGUACACGUAGCAAACUAAACAUCACUAUCCGAUUAUUCUAUCAGCCAUGCAAAAUUUUAGCAGUACAAGAAAGUAAAAUUUUUAAUAGAAAAGACUACUUUCAUCUAACAUACAAAAAUUAAUUUACUAUAUUUUAGUAAAAGGAGCAAAAUGCAAUUUAUCAAGAGCCUUUAUAUUGCAAGACCGAAGAUAAAAGAAACAUCAUUGAUAACAGAAAUAACACAUGCACCAUGAACUAUUACCGGAAAAGAGACUAGAUUGUAUUGUUAGAAGAUCCAUGUAUCAUUUGCAAGUAUUGUGAAAGAAAACUAGACAAUCUAAUGACUGAUCUCAUCUGAAAACAAAGUAAGGUACCUUUCACUCAGAAAUGAGGUUCCGGUAAACUGAUAAAUCCUUCCACUAUGCUAUGAGGAGUAUCAAGUGUACAAAAUACAUGCUGUACACAAAUUGAUCUUCACAGGAGGUGUCGGAGGUAGAAAAAAAAUUCUCAUACAGUAAACCCAUCCCGGGGAAAUCCGUCAAAGAAAAGAAACAGCUCUGCUAAACUCUGUUUGUAGGAAACUCCCGAAACUGGCGAAGAAUUGUGCUUUUAUAUCCAAAAACAGAAAUAUAUAUAUAUGCAUCAAUAAAUUCAUCUGCUCAAUGGCUCUAACUGAACUUCCAUUAGUCCAGAAUUCUGUGAACCUGUUCGUGCGGAAGCAUGGUGUGGGUUUAAAAGGUCAACAGAAUCGUCUUCUUCAACAUUGCCUAGGACCCAGUUGCCCCUUCCUAAAAAUCGGUCCCUCCUCCGCUGUCUUUCACGAUACUCCAAAUAAAUGACUAGUAGUGCACCUAUCAAGAACCAAAUUAUUAAUGCCCAGCUAAGUCCAUGGACAUUUUCUCCUUUAUAUCUUUCUCCUAAAUGCUUCAUUCCAGUGAAAAGCGCUGCUAUUCCUACAACAAUGGCACCUCUGCCAACAAUUACAUGGAAAUAUUCCCAAAUAAUCCUAUUUGAGGAAGCCUCCACACCAUGAUCAGGUUUCUUAGGCCUGAGGUACGCAUUCACUGGCUGUACACAGGCACAAAAUAUAGCAGCAAUCCCAAACUUAACAUGUAAUGAGCUAACAAAGAAACCAUGAAGUUCAGCAACAGCAAAAAGAACAGCAAGUAGGAUAAUUGCUAAUCCCGAAUACUGUAAGUAAACAUGAAUUUGGUACCAUCCAUCACCUUUUACAUGUUUAAGGUAUCUAGCAGCCAAUAUUCCACCAGGAAGUAGAAUACCCCAAGCGAGGAACAUCAUAAAUCCAUGUACAGCUAAUACCGGUCGUAAAUCUUGCUCAGCCUCAGAAGAACCGCGCAGAAGCAUCACACGCACAGGCCUUUGACUAGUGACAGAAUGCAUAUUUCUCUCACUAAGAUGCUCAGACCACUUAGCACCCAUUGCCCAAACUACUCUAAGAGGAGUUGUUGGAUCAAGAAUGUUCUUGCACUCUUUCUUCUUAUCAUGACUACUGCAUGAUGGAUUAAAGGGGCGUGUGAAUUCAAAAGUAAUGAUGCCAUUUUCUGACUUGCACCUGACAUGCGUCAAGUUCUCAUUCGUCAGAUGCACAUUUGAGGCAUCCUUUCCAUCAAUCCAAUAUGUAUUUAGACGCCCUUUUCCGGCAUUGUCAAUCCAGCCCACAUAAGCAUAGCUAUUCACCAUCUCACCACCAAAAGCUAUAGCUAGAUAGCCACUCUUCUUUUCACCACGGGCUGCAAUAGAUAUUGAAUCCUUAGAUACUGUCCAAAAGAAAGUAACUUGCUGAUCAUCUAAAAACACGCUAUUGUUAUACAUAUCAGAUAGACCACCAUCAACAACUUCGACUCUCCACCCCAUCUUCGGCUGGAAUAAUGACUGAUAAAACACUUGAUCAGGGGUAUUCCUAUCGGGAGCCCAAACCAAUUCGUAAGGGCUUGCCAUGACUCCUUCUGCUUCCGGCCCACCAGAAUAAAUAGUCUCAGUUGCAUUCCUCAAUGUUGCAUUCCCACCUAGAUAAUCAGAAGUAAUAUACAAAGCAACAUCAUGACCUGUCUGCACCGAAAACUUCACAGGAACCCCUCUUUCCACUCUCAAAACUGGAGCCUCCUUCUUAUUAAUAUACAAAACCUUUGAUGGAUUUGGUGGAUUUGGAUAAUGCAACGCCUCCCCAGUCGUAACAACAAGCGGAACUUUUGCACUGGCAAUAAUCAAAUCUUGGUCCUGCUUAUCAUCAGCAUCCAAUGGCCCGAAACAAUCAUCCACAUUCUCUGAAACAUUAAGCCUCAAAUGUCCAUAUGCAACCAUCAUUGGACCCCCGUGAUUUUGGGGCAAAUAAUAUGGCCGGAUAGUAUCAGGCGGUUUCAUCAACCCUAAUGCCCAAAUAACCGUCAUUUCCUUGGUAGGAUUCACAGGCAAAUCGUAUUUACCAUCCGACGAAUUCAAUGGUUUCCUAAACCUAAUAAAGGAAACCCCAUCUCUCCUAUGUCCAUAAACCAACUUAGUAUUAUUUAGCGUCAUGCCGUUGGUGGUAUUCUCAUAAACUACAUCAGGACAAACACCUACGGCUGAACCAUCUUUACCAUGCAACAUACACUCACUAUAACUCGUAAUGUAAAAAUCAUCAACAAAGGGCCUACCUUCCUCCGUAAAAGCCGCCACCGCGAUGUCUGCUCCUAACAUCAGCUCCUUGGUUCUAUUCGGAUUCGCCCACCCAAACGCCAUGUAAUUCAUCGUCUUGGUCGCCGCUUCGAGCCCGAUCUCGAUCCAAUUGUCCUCCACAUUCAAGCUCCACCGAACCCUAUAAUUACCCGACAAGUUCUUGCAGUUAUCGAACAUUGUAUGUACCCUGCCUGGAUACAAAUCCGACCCGUUGGUGGGGAGGGUGAGGUGGCCAAAGUCCGAUAAGGUGGUGACGUCCCAGACGGAGAGAACUUUGAUCUGGUCCCAGGUGACGUUGGGGAGUAAUUGGAUCGAAAACGACGCGUUUUUGUAAGUUGUUUGGUUGAGGCGGUGAUCGGAAAUCGGGAACCCACGGGUGAUGUUAGAGAAAUCGACGGCGACCGCCCCCCAGAAAACGACGUCGGAAGAACCGGAUAACAUGUCAAAUCUGGAUACUUGGAAAGAACAAUCAUCGAGGAUUUUGAAAUGGCCUCUCAGUUGGUGUUGGACCAUGGUGAAAUUGGAUUCGAAGCCGAUUAGGGAGCUCGUGUUGGAGCAUUUCGUACCGGAAUCCGCAUUGCAGAAGAAGAUGAAGGAAUUGAUGAGAAAGAGUAGGAGUAAAAGGGAUGAUUUGGAAUUGUACAUUCGGAUCGAAUGGCAAGUGAUUAGAAAGAACCCAAAAUCUAUGUUUAAAGAGAAAUAGAUGUUUAAAAAGAAAGCAAGAAAAAAGGAGGAGCGAGUAAUGGGGCGGUGGUGGCUCGGUGGAGACGUGAGUGGUCAACUCGUCAAUUUUGUUGGUUUGUUCGUGGUUUUUUAAAAGUCCUCUGGGGUUUUUCUUUUGGGGGAAGAGGGGAAGGCCAUGAGAGGUAAAUGGCAAUUUCGUGAUUUUAUUAGGCGUAUUUGAAACAAUCGCCGAAUCACGUCAGUGCUGACAUUCUUAUGCUCAAUUUAGAUUAUUCGUUAAACAAUACUUGGAUUCUUUUUUCUUGUUAAAACCUCAAAAAUUACCCCAACUUUAUUUAUUUAUUUAGUCUUUAUUCUAAAAAAAUUAAUUAUCAUUUAUAUAUAGUUUAAUCUUUUUUUUAAUUUUACUUUUCUUUAUAACUAUUCCACCUGAAAAGUUAAAAAAAUAUCAACUAAAAUAAAUAAAAGAAAAAUAUAAAAAUAGAAACGCCCAAAAACUCAAUCAUAAUUUUCACUUUUUCUCAUUAUUUUCUUUUGUUACUCUAAUUCUCCAUUAGUGAAUUGAACACUGACAAUCGAGAUGAUCUAGUUUUCGUUGUUCACUGUUCAUCGGUUUCAUAAGAUUUACACUUUAAUUAUUCAACAUUGCUUCGUUUGAGCUAUUUUGUUAUAGUCGUUGUUGUCAUUAUUACUUUUUCUAGUGAAUAUAGAGAGCCUCACCACUCGUUUAAUUAAUUCACUAUUAAAAGAAAAAUGAAAAUGCCUUUAAAAUCAUCACUUAGCCAAGCAUGAAGAAUGGAUAAGAUGAAUGGCUUGGGACUCACGAGUUCAAAAAGAGACAUGAAUGAACUUAUAUUAUUGGACACUGGAGCUGACAACAAAUGACGGAUUUCGAUGGUAAAUAGGAGCGAUUAGAGUACUACCAUUUUGUCCCUUUGAGACGUCAUUCUUGCAUCUAACUCAAUGGAAAAAUGAAGAACAAUAAGAAGAAACAAAAUGACCCAAAAUUUUUAAAAUAGCCAAUUCAAUUAAUUGAAAAUAAAAAAAUAGGCACUUCAUUAAUUCAACCCAAUUUUAUGUCUAAUAAUUUCAAAAAAAAAUUUAGCUUUAAUUUACUUCAUUAAGACAACCAGCUCAAGUAAACAAAAAUGAGUUAUUUAUUAUUGAGAGAUAAUAAGUUUCAACCAUUUGAAGUAGAAGGAAAGCAAUGUAUUUGGGGAUUAUUUAGUUUAAUAAUAAACAAGAUUUUUAAAAUUAUUUUUUUCUUUGUUUCUAAUUUACACAUUGUCUAUUGCAUUAUAUUUUCAUGUUAAAAAUAGUACAAAAUUAGGCAAUGAGCAAACAUUGAGAGCUAUUUUCUUUUAAGAUAAGGCUAAAUUAAUAUAAAGUGUGAAUGUUAAAGGGUUAAAAUUGCUAUUAUGUUAAUUUUAAAAGCUUAUACAUCAUUUUUUCGUUAGUCAUUUAACAACCGAUAACCAAAAAAAGGAAAAAAAAAAUCAAAUAAUUGGGUAACAGUUUUGUAACUUUUCAUUAUUGAGUGGCCAACAAAGAAAUUUACUAAUAGUUGGGUGACUACUAGUGUAGUUUAUCCCUUUUUUAUACAUAAAAAUAAUUAUAUUUGCCCAUUAAGAAAAAAAAAAGUAGAUUUAUUUAUUUUUUGAAUAUGUAUAAUUUGAUCAAAAUCAAAAUUUCAUAUAUAUAAUUGAAUCAAAAUAAAAAUUCCAUAUGUAUCAAAUCAAUCCAACCAAAAAUAUAUAUGUAUCAAAUCGAAGUUAAUAUUAUAUAGUUAGUCAAAAUUUCAUUUGUAAUUUCAAGAUUUAUCUCAUUAUAACUAAUACAUACUUGAAUUAGACCUAUCUAUACUAUUGUUAGUGUUCUUCUUUGUUUUCCCAAAGAGUUUCUUCUCUCAUUUUGUUCUCUUACCUUAGUUCUUUGUUGGGCUUCCUAACGCGACUUGUUUCCUCCUCAAAGCUUUUUCCCUAACCAUUUCCAAGUCUUUUGGUUGAUGCUUUGCUUAUCUUUUCCUUCCCACGGUGCAUUUUCCCCUUUCUCCCGUUUUCCUGAUGAUGUCAUGGGCAGGCUAUGAAGUCAAUGGAUCUUUUUCCCAAGACAAAGCAUCUCCCCAAUUGAACUUGAUAGAUAGUAUGUCAGUCUUUCAAUCGAUUUGCUCAUUCAUGAUUAGACUAAGGACAUGUUUACGUUCGUUUACUAAUAUAAGUUGUCUUUCCGUAUUACAAUCCGACCACGUAAUACAGCUUAGUAUUAGCUAAACAUUAGACAAACAUUGAGCUAAUAUUUGCUUCUAUUUUUCUUUACAUGCUAAAAACACACGAGGGCAAUAUACAAAGGGUAUUAAUGUAAUUCAUGAAUAAUUUUUUAACCAAUUUGUUCGAAAAAAUUACAAUUGUACAAAUAAAUAUACUAGACUUAGGGCACCAGAUCCAACACCAACAACCUAAUCCAAUGACACGACAAUUCAGGCUUGUUCAACAAAUCUCAAGGCCGGCCCAAGACCUCGACCAUUGGCUGCCUUAUUGUACGUGCAUUGAGACAUGCGAAAAUAGAUCUAAAUGAAAUGAAGUGCGGUGUUUAUGCAAGUGUGACAAGUUUAGCUGUAAUAUUUAUGUUAUAAUGGAACAUUAAGUAUUCUAAUGAUCAAACUCAAGAGAGAUCUAGUAAUGGAAAUGCUAAGAAUAAAAUAACAUGCAAGGGGAAGACUACCAAGCUACAGGAACAACCAAUUAUUAUGACAAUAAAAAAAGGAGAUUAAACAUGCCAAUAUUCAAUUAAUGAAAAUCACAAUUAGGAAACAAUAAUGAUCAGUCCAUUUCAGUGAAUUUAUGUUCAAAGUAGCCCAAUUGCCAAUUUUCUCAUUUAAUAAAAUCUCCUCUCGGUCUCAAUUUAAUCUAAAUAAGAAAUUUGAUUGAAUUAUCAUCUCGGCUUUACUCAGUUAAACUAAAUUAAAUUAAUUCUUACUUAAUAGGUUCUCCUCUCAGUUUCAGCUUUCUAAAUUUUCCCUUAGAUUUGUCAAUUCUAAGUUUUACAAUUUAUUCAAUUUAUUCUAAAUUUGCAAUUUAGUCUUUGAACAUAAAAUUCACAUGCUAGCAUUUUAAUCAACCAUCACCCAAGCAAUUUAGCUCCAACCCAUUAUGCAAUUAAUCAAAUAAUUCAAUUUCAAGAAAUAACAACAAAGCAUAAGGAUGAAAUUGCAAAACUUACAAAGUACUUAAGAUUUGUAAGAAAUUUCUUGAUUCAAUGAAGAGAAUGCUUCAAUUUGCAAAAUAAUUGAAAGACCAAAUAGAAAAUUCUUCAAUUGAACAAUAAAAAUAAAGUAAUUGCAAGGAAAGUUGUAGAACUAAGCUAACCUAGAAAUAAUCUCUUUUCUAAUCUAGGCCUAAAAUUACCAACAACAAAAUGAACUAACUUAAAAAUAAAACUAAAAAAUCCUAACUUUUUACUCAUUUACAAUAUCUAAAUAAUGUAGUAUUUUAAAAGAAAAGUUAUUUUAAUUCCUCAAUUACAUAAAUAUCCCAAACAAUUAACUCAUACUAGGCAACUUUGAUCCAUAAUCACUUUCGGUUGCCCUUUUAAAAGUGGUUGUGUUGGGCCCAAUGUUGCGACAUUGGAAGACCAAUGUCGUGACAUUCAACUCAGCGGGCUCAUGCCAUGGCCUUGGUAGGUGGAUGUCGUGACUUUGCUUGGCUUUUUCCUGUUCAAGUUCAAGGUCAACGUCAUGACAUUACAAGGUCAAUGUUGUGAACUUAACAACAGGGUGCUUCAUAUUGCAACUUUGAAGGCUGGAAUGUUCAACCUUAUGCUAGAUUGAGGGGAGCUCAUUGGGUGGUAAAAAAUAGAUAAUGUUACGGCAUUCAUGUAUGAUGUUGCGACUUUAGGCACAAAAGACUAAGUUGCAACAUUGCAGCUAUCUAUUUACUUGCCUCAUCCCUCUUCUAAAUUAAGUCCCUGAAACAUCUUUAGCCACCAUUAAGUUUAUAAAGACAGGUAAUUGUCAUUUUAUUUAGGAAAACAUAAACAAACUAAAAUUUUCAAAUUAUAAUAAAGUCUAACAUAAGUAUUGAAAAAAGAUAAAAAGACUAAACCAAUUACUUGAAAAUAAGCUCUUCAAAUUCGAAAAGAGCUUCAUUCGUUGUAUCAAAAUACGAUGUGUCACAUCCAGAAAAUUGGAUUAGAAGAAAUUGGGUUGGAGAAACCAAAAGAGGUCAUGUCCUGUUUUGAAUUAAGGUUGUGAAAAUUAUAUCGAGUAAAAUAAUUUGGUUUGGUGGUUAAGUGUUGCGCUUGUGAGUGGAAGGUUCUAGGUUCAAAUAUUUUCCCUUGAAUUUUUGUUAUUUUUGCCUAAACCCUUAUAUUUGAACAUUUGAUUUAUAAAUUAUUUUUGCUCAACUAUGACAAGAAUAAGCUUGUUGGUUUAGUAGUAAGGCUUCAACUUAGUCUUUGGUCUUGUGUUUGAAUCCUUGUGAAUGUAAAGUGAAAAUUGUUUUUGUUUUGAACUCUCUGAUUGGUAGUUAGCUAGUGGAUUUAGUGGGAUGUGGGUAGUUUUGGUUUAACCCAAAAACCUCUUCCACUCUCUCUAUCUCAGUCUCAUUUCUCUCAUUCUCUUUUUCUUUCUUUUUUAGAAAAUUUUGGUUUGUUAAAAUUUUCUUUGACGUUGUUCUUCAUUUUCUAUUUUACCAUUCCUUUUUCAUUGAUUUUUUGACGGAUAAGUCUUGCAACUUUGUUCUUCAAUGGUAAGUUUCUGCUUGUUAACUGUGGGUGGUGUUUUGUAAAUAUUCAACUAUUAAUCAUUUUGAUUUUUUAUAGGAGGAGAGGGUGAUGCGUACAACGUCUCUCUGGCGUGUUAGGCAUGGCUAAUGGGUGUUAUUAAGUCACUAUUUUUGGGGUAAGUGCUAGUAUAUCAUUUAAGGGACUAUUUUCUUUUAGAGAAGGAGUGGAUUUAAAGUGAAAUUCUGAGUUAGUUCGUGUUUGUUAAUCGAUACAUUUUGACGCCGUAUAUAGGUUUUAUGAGUUCCAGAUGCGUGGUUUGUUGUACCAGUAAUCAGGUGUGUGAAACUAACUCCAAACAUCACUCAGAACUCGAGAAAAUUACGAAACAGGGCUAUUUUUAAAAUUGCCCAACACUACACGGCCGUGUGGUAGGCCGUGUGUAGCACACAGCUGUGUGUGAUUACACGGCCUGGAUUGGUAGUUGAUUUUCUAUCUUUUUCAUCCUAUUCUAUUUCCGUUUUCAAUUUUCAAAUUUUUCGUUAGAUCAAAAUCUGAUUUCACUUUUGAUUGUAUUUGAUUCUAUUUAAUCGGCAGAAUCAAAAUGGGAUGUAUAAACGAAAGUUCUGUUUCUACGAAAAUUCUUUCGAUUAACCAACUCGUUACGAAAUCGCGUUGAUAGCCUCGACUCGUGUCCUAGCCCGUCUGAGAGCUAGAUUUGCCUCAAUUGUUUGCCUCUUGCCUUCAGCUUUCCUCAAGUUAGCUUCCGCUAUUUCAAGAGCUUGCUGAGCUUCUUGUGGAUCAAUGUCACUACCCUUCUCCGCAUCAUUUACUAAAAU
rnacentral:lncRNA from 1 species